rnacentral:sRNA from 1 species
AACGGGCCGCGCGUUUGUGCCGUAAGACGGCAUCUUAUGAAAUUGUUAUCUCCCCAUCCGUGACCACGGAUGUACUGGCACGGUGGGUUGAGAUGAUGAGGAAGGUCGGGUCUGUCCCGGCCUUUUUUAUU